rnacentral:rRNA from 1 species
CCUACGGGAGGCAGCAGUAAGGAAUAUUGGUCAAUGGAGGCAACUCUGAACCAGCCAUGCCGCGUGCAGGAAGAAGGCCCUAUGGGUCGUAAACUGCUUUUGUACCAGAGAAAACCACAGUACGUGUACUGUGUUGAUAGUAUGGUAAGAAUAAGCAUCGGCUAACUUCGUGCCAGCAGCCGCGGUAAGACGAAGGAUGCAAGCGUUAUCCGGAUUCAUUGGGUUUAAAGGGUGCGUAGGCGGACUGAUAAGUCAGUGGUGAAAUCUCUCAGCUUAACUGAGAAACUGCCAUUGAUACUGUUAGUCUAGAGUAUAGAUGACGUUGGCGGAAUAUGACAUGUAGUGGUGAAAUACUUAGAUAUGUCAUAGAACACCGAUUGCGAAGGCAGCUAACGAAACUAUAACUGACGCUGAGGCACGAAAGUGCGGGGGAUCAAACAGGAUUAGAUACCCUGGUAGUCCGCACCGUAAACGAUGAUUACUCGUUGUUGGCAAUAUGACCGUCAGCGACCAAGCGAAAGCGANAAGUAAAUCCACCUGGGGAGUACGCCGGNACGGUGAAACUCAAGGAAUUGACGGCUUGAGACGNGCGAGGACGACACGAGGGAGGAGG